AAGUGACCUCUGACAUACCGGGUAAUUACGUCACGUGACGCUGUCAUUUCAUUCCUCUUAUUCUUUUCCAGUGAAAACGAGCGCGAUGGCCCUUUAUAGGAAAUGUAUUGUCAGUGAACAAUUUUUGAAAGAAGCUGCUGAACAAACUGCAAGUUUAAAUACUCGAAUAUCUCUUGAGAGAAAAAUGAGACAACCUUUUCUGGAUUCCCAGACAGGUGUGGCUCAAAAUCACACUACUCUGUGGCAGCAGUACAUAAACAGAUGCCCUGGUGAAAAUCAAGGACAACUGUAUUCUUAUCCUGCCAGAAGAUGGAAGAAAAGAAAGCGGGCAUUUUUCCCCACUGAAGUGAGGAUGGCCCGAGCUGGUGAUAUAGAAACUGGAGAAGCAGGGUACAAGUCCUGGUGGUGCCUUCCUGUUUCUCAGUCAUUGGACAUGCAUCAAAUUAGUGCCAUUGAAAACCCAGCUAUUCGACGUGGAGAUGAUGAUGAUCGCGAAGAUUUAAAGAGUGAAAACAGUAAGGAUAAAUGGUAUGAAGAAGUGGAAAAUAUUAGUGAGCCGCCUGAUGUUGGAGAAGGUGUGGAUUAUCAUUCAGACAUAAGUGAUUAUGAAGAGAUUAUACGGAAGAAAAAGAAAAAAGGAGGCGGGCGAGGCAGAAGGAAAGUUGACAAAGAAUCUACACCAAUUGAUGACAAAGACAAGCCAUACUGUUGCGAAGCGUGUGGGGCUCGAUACAAAACAAGACCUGGACUUGCAUAUCAUUAUACACAUUUUCAUAAUGGGAUGUUGGAUGCUGAUGAAAGCUGUGCCCCAUCUCCUCCUGCUCACAAACCACCAGUGGGUAUUUCUAUGGACAGCUAUAAUACUUUCAAUCAUACACCUGUCGGAAGACACACGGUGUGGAUGCAUGGUGGCAGCCUUCACACGAGACACGCAGACUCACCCUCUCUGUUUAUUUGCAAAUUCCUCGUGGGCUCAGGCGAAGAGUGUGGCCGAUGCUUUGCCUCUCAGUAUCAACUGCAGAAGCAUAAAAGCAUUGAAAAUCACCACCAAAAGAGAGGGCGGCCCAAGAAAAACUGAAAAUCUACUUUCCCAAUGGGGGCCCAAAAUGUUCAUUAAUGAGGCUGUUUUGAAAAGCAAAAUCUAUUGAUGGCAAAGUGGCUCCAAAUAAUUACUGUGAUUUCUGCCUCGGAGACUCACAAGAGAACAAGAAGACGCGUCAGCCAGAAG
rnacentral:misc_RNA from 1 species